GGACUGGAGUGAAAGGUUGUAAAGUAGAAAUUUAGAAUGUUAAUUGAUUGUUUUAAAUCUUUGUGUUAUUCUGAUAUAAGAUUGUACGGACUCAAAAAUGUCUUUGUUUUGCUGAAAAGAAAGGUCACCGUCACCAGCUAAUAGAAGCUCAAUGGAUAUAGCAUAACUUUCUAAUUUUGAAAACAGUAUUUCUCUUGCUUCGUUGUGAAAAGCGCACUCUAAAAAAUAGUGUAUACUAUCCUCAACAGGGUGGCCACAGCUGCAUGCGGACUUGGUUUAAUAUUAACACGAUGUAAAUCUGAAUUUAAAGAACUGCACAUAUUUCUCAAACGUGUAUGAAUGAUAUUAAGUUUUCUAUCCCCACAACUAAAAUAGGAAGGUGGCUGUAUCAAUUUGGACUUCAUCUUUCGUUUAAAAAUAUUUAUAUUUUUGGACGUACGUAUGUCGGGGGUAAGGCUAUUCCAUUCAAUAGUAGUGGAUGGGAAAAAGGAUUUUCUAGUUAUGUCUAGUCUAUAACCGGGUACUACAUAAUUAUUACUGUUUCGCAAAUCGUAGUUAGAUACUUGACCAACAAGCGGGGGCAUUAAAUCACAGAGAUAAUCAGGGGCAGUCCCAUUAUGUAAAGAAUAGAACAUAUUGAGCUUUCUGGAUUUUCUUCUGUCCACAAGCAAUUGCCAGCCAGUUUCAAAAUAUAUAGCUUCCCGACUAGCAAACACGGGCAACCCAGUUACUAACCUCCCUGCUUCUAACUGAACAUGUUCUAAAUUGUCGGCUUCUUGUUGAGUACAACCAUCCCAUAACUCACAUGCAUAUUCCAUAACGGGUCUUAUAAAAGUUAAAUAUAUACGAGCAAGAUAAUUUCUAUUCAAUACAUAUUUCAAUUUUUUAAGAACAUUUAAUCUUGUGCUUGCACACUUUAAAAUAUUUUCUAUAUGUGUAUGGAAUUUACCAUUGGAAUCAAAAGUUCUAAGUAUGAAAAUUCUACAUGUUUAAGACAUCCUCUAUUAGUGUAAGGGUUAUUGCUGGAAUAAGAAAGAGAUGUAUCAUCAGCAAACAAUCGAGUUAGACUUGUCAAAUUAUCAGCUAUGUCAUUUACAUAAAUAAGAAAUAGUAGGGGACCUAAUACAGAGCCUUGCGGAACUCCUGCAUUAGUAUUAUCAAAAGGCGAAUAGGCAUUUGAAACAAAAACGCUUUGUUUUCUAUUUGAAAUAUAACUUUCAAACCAUUUAUACAGAUUUCCAUCAAUACCAUACGCUUUUAGUUUUAUUAAGAGGCCACUAUGCCAUACCCUAUCAAAAGCUUUCGAGAUAUCACAUAAUAUAAGAGAUGUUAUACAGCGAUCAUCAAGUGACAUGCAUAUCCUAUAGUAAAUUUCUAUUAGCUGGUGAACGGUAGAAUGACCUGGAAUAAAACCUGAUUGAAAUUUGUAUAAUAAAUUGUUUGCUAUUAAGUGAUUAAAUACAUUUUUAAACACAAUUCUUUCAAAAACUUUACCCACUGCUGAUAAUAAUGAGAUUGGUCUAUAAUUGGAAAUCAGUGAUUUGUCUCCGGUUUUGAAUAACGGCAUGACAAUAGCUGUUUUCCAUUGACUAGGAAACUCUGCCUUUUCAAAUGACAAAUUAAAUAACAAUGAUAAGGGUACACUGACAGUAUAACUUGUCUUUUUUAACAUUUGAUGACUAAUUGAGUCAUUACCUGAUGCUUUUCCCAAUUUUAAAGUCUGCA
rnacentral:lncRNA from 1 species